rnacentral:rRNA from 1 species
CGGGGUUUAGUGCCGCAGCUAACGCAUUAAGCACUCCGCCUGGGGAGUACGACCGCAAGGUUGAAACUCAAAGGAAUUGACGGGGGCCCGCACAAGCGGUGGAGCAUGUGGUUUAAUUCGAAGCAACGCGAAGAACCUUACCAGGUCUUGACAUCCCUCUGACCGCUCUAGAGAUAGAGCUUUCCUUCGGGACAGAGGUGACAGGUGGUGCAUGGUUGUCGUCAGCUCGUGUCGUGAGAUGUUGGGUUNNNNNNCGCAACGAGCGCAACCCCUAUUGUUAGUUGCCAUCAUUCAGUUGGGCACUCUAGCGAGACUGCCGGUAAUAAACCGGAGGAAGGUGGGGAUGACGUCAAAUCAUCAUGCCCCUUAUGACCUGGGCUACACACGUGCUACAAUGGCUGGUACAACGAGUCGCAAGCCGGUGACGGCAAGCUAAUCUCUUAAAGCCAGUCUCAGUUCGGAUUGUAGGCUGCAACUCGCCUACAUGAAGUCGGAAUCGCUAGUAAUCGCGGAUCAGCACGCCGCGGUGAAUACGUUCCCGGGCCUNGU